AAGUCGUAACAAGGUCUCCGUUGGUGAGCCAGCGGAGGGAUCAUUACCGAGUUUACAACUCCCAAACCCAUGUGAACAUUACCUCUAUGUUGCUUCGGCGGAGCCGCCCCGGCGCCGGAACCCCCUGCGGUCCCGCGGCCCGGAACCAAGGCGCCCGCCGGAGGCCACAAACUCUUCUGUUUUUACAGUUUCUUCUGAGUGUGCCGCAAGGCAGUAUACAAAUGAAUCAAAACUUUCAACAACGGAUCUCUUGGUUCUGGCAUCGAUGAAGAACGCAGCGAAAUGCGAUAAGUAAUGUGAAUGCAGAAUUCAGUGAAUCAUCGAAUCUUUGAACGCACAUUGCGCCCGCCAGAAUUCUGGCGGGCAUGCCUGUUCGAGCGUCAUUUCAACCCUCGAGCUCCCCUUUCGGGGGAGCCGGCGUUGGGACCCGGCGCUAACAACGCGGCCCGAAAUGGAGUGGCGGCCGUCCGCGGCGACCUCUGCGUAGUAACAACCACUCGCACCGGACCCGGCGCGCCACGCCGUAAAACACCCCACCUUCGAAUGUUGACCUCGAAUCAGGUAGGAGUACCCGCUGAACUUAA
rnacentral:rRNA from 1 species